rnacentral:rRNA from 1 species
UCCUACGGGGGGCAGCAGUAGGGAAUAUUGCUCAACGGGGGAAACCCUGAAGCAGCAACGCCGCGUGGAGGAUGAAGGUUUUCGGAUUGUAAACUCCUUUUGUUAGAGAAGAUAAUGACGGUAUCUAACGAAUAAGCACCGGCUAACUCCGUGCCAGCAGCCGCGGUAAUACGGAGGGUGCAAGCGUUACUCGGAAUCACUGGGCGUAAAGAGCGCGUAGGCGGGAUAGCAAGUCAGAUGUGAAAUCCUAUGGCUUAACCAUAGAACUGCAUUUGAAACUGUUAUUCUAGAGUAUGGGAGAGGUA